rnacentral:rRNA from 1 species
GGUUAAGCGACUAAGCGUACACGGUGGAUGCCCUGGCAGUCAGAGGCGAUGAAGGACGUGCUAAUCUGCGAUAAGCGUCGGUAAGGUGAUAUGAACCGUUAUAACCGGCGAUUUCCGAAUGGGGAAACCCAGUGUGAUUCGUCACACUAUCAUUAACUGAAUCCAUAGGUUAAUGAGGCGAACCGGGGGAACUGAAACAUCUAAGUACCCCGAGGAAAAGAAAUCAACCGAGAUUCCCCCAGUAGCGGCGAGCGAACGGGGAGCAGCCCAGAGCCUGAAUCAGUGUGUGUGUUAGUGGAAGCGUCUGGAAAGGCGUGCGAUACAGGGUGACAGCCCCGUACACAAAAAUGCACAUGCUGUGAGCUCGAUGAGUAGGGCGGGACACGUGGUAUCCUGUCUGAAUAUGGGGGGACCAUCCUCCAAGGCUAAAUACUCCUGACUGACCGAUAGUGAACCAGUACCGUGAGGGAAAGGCGAAAAGAACCCCGGCGAGGGGAGUGAAAAAGAACCUGAAACCGUGUACGUACAAGCAGUGGGAGCACGCUUAGGCGUGUGACUGCGUACCUUUUGUAUAAUGGGUCAGCGACUUAUAUUCUGUAGCAAGGUUAACCGAAUAGGGGAGCCGAAGGGAAACCGAGUCUUAACUGGGCGUUAAGUUGCAGGGUAUAGACCCGAAACCCGGUGAUCUAGCCAUGGGCAGGUUGAAGGUUGGGUAACACUAACUGGAGGACCGAACCGACUAAUGUUGAAAAAUUAGCGGAUGACUUGUGGCUGGGGGUGAAAGGCCAAUCAAACCGGGAGAUAGCUGGUUCUCCCCGAAAGCUAUUUAGGUAGCGCCUCGUGAAUUCAUCUCCGGGGGUAGAGCACUGUUUCGGCAAGGGGGUCAUCCCGACUUACCAACCCGAUGCAAACUGCGAAUACCGGAGAAUGUUAUCACGGGAGACACACGGCGGGUGCUAACGUCCGUCGUGAAGAGGGAAACAACCCAGACCGCCAGCUAAGGUCCCAAAGUCAUGGUUAAGUGGGAAACGAUGUGGGAAGGCCCAGACAGCCAGGAUGUUGGCUUAGAAGCAGCCAUCAUUUAAAGAAAGCGUAAUAGCUCACUGGUCGAGUCGGCCUGCGCGGAAGAUGUAACGGGGCUAAACCAUGCACCGAAGCUGCGGCAGCGACGCUUAUGCGUUGUUGGGUAGGGGAGCGUUCUGUAAGCCUGCGAAGGUGUGCUGUGAGGCAUGCUGGAGGUAUCAGAAGUGCGAAUGCUGACAUAAGUAACGAUAAAGCGGGUGAAAAGCCCGCUCGCCGGAAGACCAAGGGUUCCUGUCCAACGUUAAUCGGGGCAGGGUGAGUCGACCCCUAAGGCGAGGCCGAAAGGCGUAGUCGAUGGGAAACAGGUUAAUAUUCCUGUACUUGGUGUUACUGCGAAGGGGGGACGGAGAAGGCUAUGUUGGCCGGGCGACGGUUGUCCCGGUUUAAGCGUGUAGGCUGGUUUUCCAGGCAAAUCCGGAAAAUCAAGGCUGAGGCGUGAUGACGAGGCACUACGGUGCUGAAGCAACAAAUGCCCUGCUUCCAGGAAAAGCCUCUAAGCAUCAGGUAACAUCAAAUCGUACCCCAAACCGACACAGGUGGUCAGGUAGAGAAUACCAAGGCGCUUGAGAGAACUCGGGUGAAGGAACUAGGCAAAAUGGUGCCGUAACUUCGGGAGAAGGCACGCUGAUAUGUAGGUGAAGUCCCUCGCGGAUGGAGCUGAAAUCAGUCGAAGAUACCAGCUGGCUGCAACUGUUUAUUAAAAACACAGCACUGUGCAAACACGAAAGUGGACGUAUACGGUGUGACGCCUGCCCGGUGCCGGAAGGUUAAUUGAUGGGGUUAGCGCAAGCGAAGCUCUUGAUCGAAGCCCCGGUAAACGGCGGCCGUAACUAUAACGGUCCUAAGGUAGCGAAAUUCCUUGUCGGGUAAGUUCCGACCUGCACGAAUGGCGUAAUGAUGGCCAGGCUGUCUCCACCCGAGACUCAGUGAAAUUGAACUCGCUGUGAAGAUGCAGUGUACCCGCGGCAAGACGGAAAGACCCCGUGAACCUUUACUAUAGCUUGACACUGAACAUUGAGCCUUGAUGUGUAGGAUAGGUGGGAGGCUU